CAGUAGCCGCGGUAAUACGUAGGGUGCAAGCGUUAAUCGGAAUUACUGGGCGUAAAGCGUGCGCAGGCGUUCCGCUAAGACAGAUGUGAAAUCCCCGGGCUUAACCUGGGAACUGCAUUUGUGACUGGCGGGCUAGAGUAUGGCAGAGGGGGGUAGAAUUCCACGUGUAGCAGUGAAAUGCGUAGAGAUGUGGAGGAAUACCGAUGGCGAAGGCAGCCCCCUGGGCCAAUACUGACGCUCAUGCACGAAAGCGUGGGGAGCAAACAGGAUUAGAUACCCCUGUAGUCCCUGUCUCUUAUAA
rnacentral:rRNA from 1 species